GUACACGCUGUGACUAGCAUAUCAAUAAGCGGAGGAAAAGAAACUAACAAGGAUUCCCCUAGUAACGGCGAGUGAAGCGGGAAGAGCUCAAAUUUGAAAUCUUAAAGGGUUUCCCUUUACGAAUUGUAGUUUAAAGAAGUGUUUUCUGUUGAGGUUUUGGUAAAAGUUCUUUGGAAUAGGACAUCAUAGAGGGUGAGAAUCCCGUAUUUGACCUUUACUUUCAACUUUGUGAUACACUUUCAAAGAGUCGGAUUGUUUGGGAAUGCAGUCCAAAAUGGGUGGUAAAUUUCAUCUAAAGCUAAAUAUUGGCGAGAGACCGAUAGCGAACAAGUACCGUGAGGGAAAGAUGAAAAGAACUUUGAAAAGAGAGUUAAACAGUACGUGAAAUUGUCAAAAGGGAAGCGUUUGACACCAGUGUUGUUUUUCUGAAAAUCAAUUAAAGAACUGUUUAUGCUAAGCUGUUUAGACUUUAUCAGCUAUCUGUUUAGUUUUGAGCUUUUCUUUAAUGCACUUUUCAGUUAACAAGUCAACAUCAAUUUCUUUUGCUGUAAAAAAGCUUGAGGAAGGUGGCUUGAGAUUCGUCCUUAAGUGUUUAUAGCCUCUUGCCUAUGUAGUCGGAGAGAUUGAGGUCUGCAGCGUAGAUCCUUCGGGGCUAAAUGCAUUUGUGCUAAGUUAUAGCAUUUUAUAGACAACUUGUUGACUAUGAUUUGUCUUGUAGCUUACUCGCUUAUGUUAUUUUACCUACGCUUAGGAUGUUGAUAUGCAUGACUGAUAU
rnacentral:rRNA from 1 species